rnacentral:rRNA from 1 species
AUUGAACGCUGGCGGCAUGCCUUACACAUGCAAGUCGAACGGUAACGGGCCUUCGGGUGCCGACGAGUGGCGAACGGGUGAGUAAUGUAUCGGAACGUACCUUUCAGUGGGGGAUAACGUAGCGAAAGUUACGCUAAUACCGCAUAUUCUGUGAGCAGGAAAGCAGGGGAUCGCAAGACCUUGCGCUGAUUGAGCGGCCGAUAUCAGAUUAGCUAGUUGGUGAGGUAAAGGCUCACCAAGGCGACGAUCUGUAGCGGGUCUGAGAGGAUGAUCCGCCACACUGGAACUGAGACACGGUCCAGACUCCUACGGGAGGCAGCAGUGGGGAAUUUUGGACAAUGGGCGCAAGCCUGAUCCAG